UGGAUCACCGUUUCAGUGGCAUUUAAAUCCCCGGCGCUCCUCAGUCUAGGUGACGCGCAGUCGCCCCCCCAGGCAGCCCAGGCGGCGGCAGCAUCUGCGGCGGCUGCAAGGACAGAUUUCGGAGCUCUGGGCCGAAGGGGAGCAGAAGCCACCCUCUGCGCGCGCCGACUCCGCUCUCCCGCCCUCCGGGAGGUGGGGGCUGGGAGGCAUCCUCGUCUCCGCCCCCUCUCCACCGCGCACUGAGAGUUGAACUGGCAAGAGGUCUGUUUGCCUGGACCCAUCAACAGCUGGGAGACUAAUCAACCACACUGAAAAUGUUUCCGGGAUUGUGGGGGAGGGGUUGGAAUGUAGAUGUUUGAAACAAAUGUGUAUAAAUAAAUGAAUUGUUGAUAACUUAGUUAUUGACCUGAAGACUGGUAGCUUGUUAAAGAAACUCCAUGUUUCUCCUUCCUGGAGUUGGGGGUUUCUGUAGGCACUUUAUUUCUCCACUUUCAAAGGCUUGGGCUUGGCCCAACUCUGAGGCUGCCCAAUCCCGCUUCUAUUACCAAUUUAAAUCUAUGGCUUGAACCUCUACACUAAAAAA